rnacentral:lncRNA from 1 species
CUACAAUUAAAAACGCAAUCGAUCUAACCUUUUUGCCCGUAAAACUGUAAACACUAUAAAUAUAACUGAUUUAUCAAAUUCAUGUGCUGAUACACUGAUACACACACUUGGAAAAAAAAUGGAUAAAGUUAUUGUUUCUCUUGAAUCACAAUUUAAAAUUUUGAUACUGGUGUUAUCAAUCGUAACUACUCGGCCAUUCUCGCUACGCAGUACAAUAGCCUCGUAUGCACUACGGAGAAAUUCUUCUUAAAUUGUUGGCCGGAAUUGUAGUGAUCCGCGACACAAAGAAGUUCUAUCCUCCAGGUGGCGCUAUAAUUUGGUUACAUAUCACAGUAAUCAAGAACUUUAACUCUGCCAAAUAUUUUGGCGCGAAAGAAGGAGCAAAGUAAAUAAGUAAUGGUAAAAAAUUUGUACCAUUCCAGUCGAAAAAAUAUAAAAUUCAAUCGGAUCGGAAAAUUUUCCGGACAGGAGCAAGUUAAAUCAGUAGUGGUAAAAAAAAAUGUACCAGUCCAGUCGAAAAAAUAUAAUUUUGAAUCGAAUCGGAAAAUUUUCCGGACAAUGAUUCUCCGCCUAAUGCAUACGAGGUUAUUUCUUCGUGCAACCAGAAAGGCCGAGUUGUUCCGAUUGUGGUGUUAUUGCAGUUUUCUUUAAUUUUGAAAAAAAUAACUGAAGCAACGAAGUUACAACACGACGCCGGAAAUACUGCGGUUCCUGCAAACAAAAAAAAAAUAGAAAAGAAGACACAGAUUUCGCAAAUCUAUGCUAUGGCGAAGACAAC